GAGAGAGAGGUCGGCCGAGAGAGAGAGGUCGGUCGAGAGAGAGAGAGAGGUCGAGAGAGAGAGAGAGGUCGAGAGAGAGAGAGGUCGAGAGAGAGAGAGGUCGAGAGAGGUCGAGAGAGGUCGAGAGAGGUCGAGAGAGGUCGAGAGAGGUCGAGAGAGGUCGAGAGAGGUCGAGAGAGAGGUGUCGAGAGAGAGGUGUCGAGAGAGAGGUGUCGAGAGAUAGGUGUCGAGAGAGGUCGAGACAGACAGACAGAGAGAGGUCGAGACAGACAGACAGAGAGAGGUCGAGACAGACAGACAGAGAGAGGUCGAGACAGACAGACAGAGAGAGGUCGAGACAGACAGACAGAGAGAGAGACAGACAGAGAGAGAGACAGACAGACAGACAGAGAGAGAGAGACAGACAGACAGACAGACAGACAGACAGACAGACAGACAGACAGACAGGUCUGUCGAGACUAAAGUCACGCCGGAUACUGGAUAGGACAGGAGAAGUACUCCAGAUAUAACAAACUGACCCUAGCCCCCUGACACAUAAACUACUGCAGCAUAAAUGCUGGAGGCUGAGACCGGAGUGGUCAGGAGACACUGUGGCCCCAUCACAGCCCAGACAGGAAGAUCACAUCAGUGACUCAACCCACUCAAGUGACGCCCCCCUCCUUGGGACGGUACGAAAGAGCCCUAGUAAGCCAGUGACUCAGCCCCUGUAAUAGGGUUAGAGGCAGAGAAACCCAGUGGAAAGAAGGGAACCGGCCAGGCAGAGACAGCAAGGGCGGUUCGUUGCUCCAGAGCCUUUGCGUUCACCUUCACACUCCUGGGCCAGACUACACUCAAUCAUAUGACCCACUGAAGAGAUGAGUCUUCAGUAAAGACUUAAAUGUUGAGACCAAGUCUGCGUCUUUCACAUGGGUAGGCAGACCGUUCCAUAAAAAUGGAGCUCUAUAGGAGAAAGCCCUGCCUCCAGCUGUUUGCUUAGAAAUUCUAGGGACAAUUAGGAGGCCGUAGCGUACGUGUAGGUAUGUACGGCAGGACCAAAUCAGAGAGAUAGGUAGGUGCAAGCCCAUGUAAUGCUUUGUAGGAUAGCAGUAAAACCUUGAAAUCAGCCCUUGCCUUGACAGGAAGCCAGUGUCGGGAGGCUAGCACUGGAGUAAUAUGAUAAUUUUUUUUGGUUCUAGUCAGGAUUCUAGCAGUUGUUGUCAGUGAUGUCUGGUGAGAACCUGCCUUACAACAGGCCUACAAGCCCUCAGUCCAGCCUCUCUCAGGCUAUUGUGAACAGUCUGAGCACUGAUGGAGUGAUUGUGAGUUCCUGGUGUAACUCAGGCAGUUGUUGUUGACAUCCUGUACCUGUCCUGUAGGUGUGAUGUUCGGAUUUACCGAUCCUGUGCAGGUGUUGUUACACGUGGUCUGCCACUGCGAGGACGAUCAGCUGUCAGUCCUGUCUCCCUGUAGCGCUGUCUUAGGCGUCUCACUGUACAGACAUUGCAAUUUAUUGCCUUGGGCACAUCUGCAGUCCUCAUGUCUCCUUGCAGCAUGCCUAAGGCAUGUUUAUGCAGAUGAGCAGGGACCCUGGGCAUCUUUCUUUUGGUGUUUUUCAGAGUCAUUAGAAAUGCCUCUUUAGUGUCCUAAGUUUUCAUAACUGUGACCUUAAUUGCCUCCGUCUGUAAGCUGUUAGUGUUUUAACGACCGUUCCACAGCUGCAUGUUCCUUAAUUGUUUAUGGUUCAUUGAACAAGCAUGGGAAACAGUGUUCACAGAUCUUCAUUGUAAGUGAAGAUCUGUGAAGUUAUUUGGAUCUUUACGAAUUAUCUUUGGGAGGGUUCUGAAAAAGGAAAAUGUAUUUUUUUGCUGAGUUUAUUACAAUAUAAAAAUGAUUUUAUUUUAUAACAAAUGUGCUUUCUCGCGUGUUGGAUAGUGGUUGCUGUCCGCGGAUCUGAAAUACAUCAGUGCGCUGUUGAAUUGGCACCUUUUCCUAGACUACGUUGCUAUGUGCAUAAUAGUAAAGUUAAGAACAAUGCAGUGGAGGCAGCAGCAGAAUGAGGAGACGAGAAAACUGCCAUUGCUUUAUUGUCUAAGAAAGGUGAGGAGAAAGGAAACUCCAAUUUUAAUUAGGUCUAUAAUCAAUAGCUUAACGGUUAAAUGUUCCUGGCUUUAUAAAUCAUUCAUAUACAGUACUGUGCAAAAGUUUUAGGCAGGUGUGAAAAAAUGCUGUAAAGUCGGAAUGCUUUCAAAAAUAGACAUGUUAAUUGAUAAUAUUUAAAAAUGAACUAAAUGCAAAGUGAGUUCUUAAUGACUUUCGCUGUAUUUUUGGGGUCGUUGUCAUGCUGCAGAAUAAAUUUGAGGCCACUCUGAUGCCUCCCUGAUGGCAUUGCAUGAUGAAUAAGUAUCUGCCUGUAGUUCUCAGCAUUGAGGAGACCAUUAAUUCUGACUAAAUCCCCAACUCCAUUUGCAGAAAUUCAGACUUUCAAGGAACCUCCACCAUUCACUGUUGAACCUCCACCAUGCUUCACUGUUGAACCUCCACCAUGCUUCACUGUUGAACCUCCACCAUGCUUCACUGUUGCCCGCAGACACUCAUUUGUGUACCGCUCUCCAGCCCUUCGGUGAACAAACUGCCUUCUGCUACAGCCAAAUAAUUCAAUUUUGACUCAUUAGUCCGGAGCACCUGCUUCCAUUUUUCUGCACCCCAGUUCCUGUGUUUUUGUGCAUAGUUACAUUUACAUUUACAUUUAAGUCAUUUAGCAGAUGCUCUUAUCCAGAGCGACUUACAAAUUGGUGCAUACACCUUAUGAC